rnacentral:rRNA from 1 species
CGGGUAAUUCCCAGCGAUGUUCGCGGGGGGCAUCCCCCGCCAACCAAAGCUCAGGCGCCGUGGGACGGACCGUCGUGGUAUUAGGUCGUUGGCGGGGUAAUGGCCCACCAAGCCUCUGAUGCCUACCGGGCGUGCGAGCGCGGCCCGGCACACUGGGACUGAGACACUGCCCAGACUCCUACGGGAGGCUGCAGUCGAGAAUCUUCGGCAAUGGGCGCAAGCCUGACCGAGCGACGCCGCGUGGAGGGUGAAGGCCUUCGGGUUGUAAACUCCUGUCGAGGGGGAGGAAGGCGUAAGCUUGACCUAUCCCUGGAGGAAGCACGGGCUAAGUUCGUGCCAGCAGCCGCGGUAAGACGAACCGUGCGAACGUUAUUCGGAAUCACUGGGCUUAAAGCGCGUGUAGGCGGAUGGGGACGUCGGUCGCUGAAAUCCCCCGGCUCAACCGGGGAACGGGCGCCGAAACGCCCCGUCUGGAGGAACGUAGGGGGACCUGGAACUUCCGGUGGAGCGGUGAAAUGCGUUGAGAUCGGAAGGAACGCCCGUGGCGAAAGCGAGGUCCUGGACGUUUUCUGACGCUGAGACGCGAAAGCUAGGGUAGCGAACGGGAUUAGAUACCCCGGUAGUC